AGAGUUUGAUCCUGGCUCAGGACGAACGCUGGCGGCGUGCCUAACACAUGCAAGUCGAACGGUCUAAUGCUUAACACUGAGUAUUCAGUAAAGUUGGAACACGGACGGGUGAGUAACGCGUGGGUAACCUACCCAUAAACCCGGGACAACCCUUGGAAACGAGGGCUAAUACCGGAUAAUCUUAAGGCUUGGCAUCAAGUUUUAAGGAAAGGUGGCCUCUGAAAAUGCUACCGAUUAUGGAUGGACCCGCGUCUGAUUAGCUAGUUGGUGGGGUAAAGGCCUACCAAGGCGACGAUCAGUAGCCGGCCUGAGAGGGUGAACGGCCACACUGGGACUGAGACACGGCCCAGACUCCUACGGGAGGCAGCAGUGGGGAAUCUUCCGCAAUGGACGAAAGUCUGACGGAGCAACGCCGCGUGUAUGAUGAAGGUCUUCGGAUUGUAAAGUACUGUCUUUGGGGAAGAACGGUAUGCUUGAAAAUAUUGAGCGUACAUGACGGUACAAUAAGAGGAAGCCACGGCUAACUACGUGCCAGCAGCCGCGGUAAUACGUAGGUGGCAAACGUUGUCCGGAAUUACUGGGCGUAAAGGGCGAGUAGGUGGUUUGCUAAGUCAGAAGUGAAAACUCCGGGCUCAACUCGGAGACUGCUCCUGAAACUGGUAGACUUGAGUGCAAGAGAGGGAAGUGGAAUUCCUAGUGUAGCGGUGAAAUGCGUAGAUAUUAGGAGGAACACCAGUGGCGAAGGCGACUUCCUGGCUUGUAACUGACACUGAGGCGCGAAAGCGUGGGGAUCAAAAGGAUUAGAUACCCUGGUAGUCCACGCCGUAAACGAUGAGUGCUAGGUGUCGGGGGUAUCGACCCCCUCGGUGCCACAGCUAACGCAAUAAGCACUCCGCCUGGGGAGUACGGCCGCAAGGUUAAAACUCAAAGGAAUUGACGGGGGCCCGCACAAGCGGUGGAGUAUGUGGUUUAAUUCGAUGAUACGCGAGAAACCUUACCUGGUCUUGACAUCCCGUGACCGCUAUGGAAACAUGAGNNNNNNNNNNNNNNNNNGGCAGUGGUGACAGGUGGUGCAUGGUUGUCGUCAGCUCGUGUCGUGAGAUGUUGGGUUAAGUCCCGCAACGAGCGCAACCCUUGUCAUUAGUUGCCAGCAGUUCGGCUGGGCACUCUAGAGAGACUGCCGAGGAUAACGGGGAGGAAGGUGGGGAUGACGUCAAAUCAUCAUGCCCCUUAUGUUCUGGGCUACACACGUACUACAAUGGCCUGAACAGAGGGAAGCAAAACUGCGAAGUUAAGCGAAUCCCUUAAAACAGGUCCCAGUUCGGAUUGUAGGCUGCAACUCGCCUACAUGAAGUCGGAAUCGCUAGUAAUCGCAGGUCAGCAUACUGCGGUGAAUACGUUCCCGGGCCUUGUACACACCGCCCGUCACACCACGAAAGUCGGCAACACCCGAAGCCGGUGACUCAACCCGAAAGGGAGAGAGCCGUCGAAGGUGGGGUUGGUAAUUGGGGUGAAGUCGUAACAAGGUAACCU
rnacentral:rRNA from 1 species